UACGUAGGGUGCGAGCGUUAAUCGGAAUUACUGGGCGUAAAGCGUGCGCAGGCGGUUGUGUAAGACAGAUGUGAAAUCCCCGGGCCCAACCUGGGAACUGCAUUUGUGACUGCACGGCUCGAGUGCGGCAGAGGGGGAUGGAAUUCCGCGUGUAGCAGUGAAAUGCGUAGAUAUGCGGAGGAACACCGAUGGCGAAGGCAAUCCCCUGGGCCUGCACUGACGCUCAUGCACGAAAGCGUGGGGAGCAAACAGG
rnacentral:rRNA from 1 species